UACGAGUGCCUCAAGCGUUAUCCGGAAUUACUGGGCGUAAAGCGCACGUAGGCGGCUUUGCAAGUCAGAGGUGAAAGCCCGGGGCUCAACCCCGGAAUUGCCUUUGAGACUGCAUCGCUAGAAUUGUGGAGAGGUAAGUGGAAUUCCGAGUGUAGAGGUGAAAUUCGUAGAUAUUCGGAAGAACACCAGUGGCGAAGGCGACUUACUGGACACAUAUUGACGCUGAGGUGCGAAAGCGUGGGGAGCAAACAGG
rnacentral:rRNA from 1 species